UCCAGUGUGGUGUAAUGGUUUAAGUGUUGGACUGGGACUCUGGAGGCCAGUGUUCAAAUCCCUGCUCAGCCA